rnacentral:rRNA from 1 species
UCGGGAGGCAGCAGUGAGGAAUAUUGGUCAAUGGGCGCGAGCCUGAACCAGCCAAGUAGCGUGCAGGAUGACGGCCCUAUGGGUUGUAAACUGCUUUUAUGCGGGGAUAAAGUCGGCUACGUGUAGCCGUUUGUAGGUACCGCAUGAAUAAGGACCGGCUAAUUCCGUGCCAGCAGCCGCGGUAAU